rnacentral:tRNA from 1 species
GGGCCUGUUGAUGGUUCAGGGCUUCAGCGUUGCCACCUGAUGCCGCGGGUUCGAUUCCCGUCAGGUCCA